GGGGGAGGGGGCGCGGACCCCCCGUUGGUGUGGAUUUGCUGCCCAAAGACCGUUAGAAAGAGGCAAGAAUGAAUGAGAUUGAAUGGAAUUGUAAUGCACAAGGCCCUCCUCCUUUCUCAAGGAGCUGGGAGGCCAGGAAAGCGAGUCGUGGGGAGAGCGGGCGGCUUUCCUCCACCUAGGAAGAGGCUUUGCAAAUCAGCAAAUUGUAGAUUUCGAGGGGAAGAGGGGGGGAAAGAGGGGGCAUUUGUGUUUUUUUAUUACAGAUAUGAGGAAAAAAAAAACCCAAUUAGAAAGCCCUGCAGCAGCCAAGAAGACCAAAAGGAGACAGAGGGAGGAAAAGAGGGAGAGGAGACUUGAUAGAAAAAUCUCAUUCCCCAACCUCUUUUUAGGUGCAGAGCCCUAUUUAUAGGGUGCGUGCUCUCCUAUAAGGCCCCGGUGCUCCAGCCCGCAGCGGAACGUUACUGAUGCAGCUGCAAGUGCUCAAAGCUUAAACAAUAUUUGUUCCCAACGCCCCAGCAGCCCGCCCGGGAGGAAGGUGGGGACGGGCUGGCGAUGGAGUCCUGAAUGUUACUCCUCCAGUUUCAAGGACAUCUUGCUGAUGAGGAUUUGGUUAAUGGAGGAGAACUUAUGUCCUAGCGGUGACGUCAUUGGGUCCCAAUGUAAUCCUCUUGUGCUGAACCCAAUCAGCAGAUGUGCCGAGAGCCGGGAUGCGGAGAAGAAGCUCUAAUCCCUUAGACUGGAUGAGAUCAGCUGAAACAGCCAGGACUAGACCCCAAACCCCUCUGCUAGGAAGAUCAAGAGAAAAGGGAUAAAUUGAGAGAGACGCCUCAUAACCCCUUUAAAGAGCUUUGGAGAAGAGAAGAGAAAGAUGGGUGGUGCACCAAGUUCAUCUUGCUUUUAAAGCCUAGCGGGAGCCUGGUUUUCACUCUGAUGGGGUCCUUCUGCAUUGUUCCAGGGCAGGAGAAGAGAGGAGGAGGAUAAAAAAAGAGAGAGAGAGAGAGGAGAGAGAGAGGAGAGAGAGAGAAAA